rnacentral:tRNA from 1 species
GGCACCAUAGUUGACUAACAACAUUAAAUUGCAGAUUUAAAAGGGUACUUUGAUACUAGUGCCU